GCCUGGGUGGCUCAGUCAGGUGAGCGACCGACUUCAACUCGGGUCAUGACCUCGCAGUCCGUAGGUUCAAGCCCCGCAUCAGGCU
rnacentral:tRNA from 1 species